rnacentral:rRNA from 1 species
GACGUAGGGCGCGAGCGUUGUCCGGAUUUAUUGGGCGUAAAGAGCUCGUAGGCGGCUCGUUGCGUCGGCUGUGAAAACCCGCAGCUUAACUGUGGGCGUGCGGUCGAUACGGGCAUCACUGGAGUUCGGCAGGGGAGACUGGAAUUCCUGGUGUAGCGGUGAAAUGCGCAGAUAUCAGGAGGAACACCGGUGGCGAAGGCGGGUCUCUGGGCCGAUACUGACGCUGAGGAGCGAAAGCGUGGGGAGCAAACAGG